rnacentral:rRNA from 1 species
AAUAGAUACCCAGGUAGUCCACGCCCUAAACGAUGCAUAUUUGGUGUGGGCAGUUCAGUCUGUCCGUGCCGGAGCUAACGCGUUAAAUAUGCCGCCUGGGGAGUACAGUCGCAAGGCUGAAACUCAAAGGAAUUGACGGGGGCCCGCACAAGCGGUGGAGCAUGUGGUUCAAUUCGACGCAACGCGAAGAACCUUACCUGGGCUCGAACGGCUGGUCAACGGAGGUGGAAACAUCUCUACCCCGCAAGGGGGUCCAGUCGAGGUGCUGCAUGGCUGUCGUCAGCUCGUGUCGUGAGAUGUUGGGUUAAGUCCCGCAACGAGCGCAACCCUUGUCCUGUGUUGCCAUCAUUCAGUUGGGAACUCGCAGGAGACCGCCAGGGAUAACCUGGAGGAAGGUGGGGAUGACGUCAAGUCCCCAUGGCCUUUAUGUCCAGGGCUACACACGUGCUACAAUGGACGGUACAAAGCGCAGCAAACCCGCGAGGGGAGCCAAUCGCAAAAAACCGUUCUCAGUUCGGAUUGCAGG